GAUGAACGCUGGCGGCGUGCCUAAUACAUGCAAGUCGAGCGAACAGACGAGGAGCUUGCUCCUCUGACGUUAGCGGCGGACGGGUGAGUAACACGUGGAUAACCUACCUAUAAGACUGGGAUAACUUCGGGAAACCGGAGCUAAUACCGGAUAAUAUAUUGAACCGCAUGGUUCAAUAGUGAAAGACGGUUUUGCUGUCACUUAUAGAUGGAUCCGCGCCGCAGUAGCUAGUUGGUAAGGUAACGGCUUACCAAGGCAACGAUGCGUAGCCGACCUGAGAGGAUGAUCGGCCACACUGGAACUGAGACACGGUCCAGACUCCUACGGGAGGCAGCAGUAGGGAAUCUUCCGCAAUGGGCGAAAGCCUGACGGAGCAACGCCGCGUGAGUGAUGAAGGUCUUCGGAUCGUAAAACUCUGUUAUUAGGGAAGAACAAAUGUGUAAGUAACUAUGCACGUCUUGACGGUACCUAAUCAGAAAGCCACGGCUAACUACGUG
rnacentral:rRNA from 1 species